GCUCGGGACGAACGCUGGCGGCGUGCUUAACACAUGCAAGUCGAGCGGGAAACUUCGGUUUCCAGCGGCGGACGGGUGAGUAACACGUGGGCAACCUGCCUCACAAUGAGGGAUAGCCUUCCGAAAGGAAGAUUAAUACCUCAUAAUACAAAGAAAACGCAUGUUUUCUUUGCCAAAGAAUUUCGUUGUGAGAUGGGCCCGCGGCGCAUUAGCUUGUUGGUGAGGUAACGGCUCACCAAGGCUUCGAUGCGUAGCCGACCUGAGAGGGUGAUCGGCCACAUUGGAACUGAGGCACGGUCCAGACUCCUACGGGAGGCAGCAGUGGGGAAUAUUGCACAAUGGAGGAAACUCUGAUGCAGCAACGCCGCGUGAGUGAUGAAGGUCUUCGGAUUGUAAAGCUCUGUCUUCUGGGACGAUAAUGACGGUACCAGAGGAGGAAGCCACGGCUAACUACGUGCCAGCAGCCGCGGUAAUACGUAGGUGGCAAGCGUUGUCCGGAUUUACUGGGCGUAAAGGAUGUGUAGGCGGAUAUUUAAGUGAGAUGUGAAAUCCCCGGGCUUAACUUGGGGGCUGCAUUUCAAACUGGAUGUCUAGAGUGCAGGAGAGGAAAGCAGAAUUCCUAGUGUAGCGGUGAAAUGCGUAGAGAUUAGGAAGAAUACCAGUGGCGAAGGCGGCUUUCUGGACUGUAACUG
rnacentral:rRNA from 1 species